rnacentral:tRNA from 1 species
GCGGCCGUGGUGUAGCAGCAACACAACGCUCUGUGGCAGCGUCGUCGCGAGUGCAAUUCUCGUCGGUCGCC